UACGAAGGGGGCUAGCGUUGUUCGGAAUUACUGGGCGUAAAGGGCGCGUAGGCGGCGUGUCAAGUCAGGCGUGAAAGCCCCGGGCUCAACCUGGGAACCGCGCUUGAGACUGGCAUGCUCGAGUUCGGGAGAGGAUGGUGGAAUUCCCAGUGUAGAGGUGAAAUUCGUAGAUAUUGGGAAGAACACCGAUGGCGAAGGCAGCCAUCUGGACCGACACUGACGCUGAGGAGCGAAAGCGUGGGGAGCAAACAGG
rnacentral:rRNA from 1 species